CAAUAGCGUAUAUUAAAGUUGUUGCAGUUAAAAAGCUCGUAGUUGGACUUGUGGUGGUUCCUGUGGUCCAAUUUUGGUACUGUCGGGGACUGCCAUCUUUGGGUGGAUCCUGUGUGGCAUUAGGUUGUCGUGCAGGGGAUGCCCAUCGUUUACUGUGAAAAAAUUAGAGUGUUCAAAGCAGGCUUAUGCCGUUGAAUAUAUUAGCAUGGAAUAAUGAGAUAGGACCUUGGUACUAUUUUGUUGGUUUGCGCACCGAGGUAAUGAUUAAUAGGGACAGUUGUGGGUAUUCGUAUUCCAUUGUCAGAGGUGAAAUUCUUGGAUUUCUGGAAGACGAACUAAUGCGAAAGCAUUUACCAAGGAUGUUUNCAUUAA
rnacentral:rRNA from 1 species